rnacentral:rRNA from 1 species
AUUGAACGCUGGCGGCAUGCCUUACACAUGCAAGUCGAACGGCAGCGCGGGAGCAAUCCUGGCGGCGAGUGGCGAACGGGUGAGUAAUAUAUCGGAACGUGCCCAGUAGUGGGGGAUAGCCCGGCGAAAGCCGGAUUAAUACCGCAUGAGACCUGAGGGUGAAAGCGGGGGAUCGCAAGGCCUGGCGCGAUUGGAUGAGCCCAUGUUCGAUUAGCUAGUUGGCGGGGUAAAGGCCCACCGAGGCGACGAUCGAUAGCUGGUCUGAGAGGAUGAUCAGCCACACUGGAACUGAGACACGGUCCAGACUCCUACGGGAGGCAGCAGUAGGGAAUAUUGGACAAUGGGGGCAACCCUGAUCCAGCCAUGCCGCGUGAGUGAAGAAGGCCCUCGGGUUGUAAAGCUCUUUUGUCCGGAAAGAAAAGCAUCUGGUUAAUACCCGGGUGUUCUGACGGUACCGGAAGAAUAAGCACCGGCUAACUUCGUGCCAGC